ACAAGGCAGACUACAGUAAGACAAGACAAGGCAGACUACAGUAAGACAGGGCAGACUACAGUAAGACAAGACAAGGCAGACUACAGUAAGACAAGGCAGACUACAGUAAGACAGGGCAGACUACAGUACGACAGGGCAGACUACAGUAAGACAGGACAGACUACAGCAAGACAAGGCAGACUACAGUAAGACAAGGCAAACUACAAACUACAGUUAGACAAGGCAGACUACAGUAAGAAGGCAGACUACAGUAAGACAAGGCAAACUACAAACUAUAGUAAGACAAGGCAGACUACAGUUAGACAAGACAGACUACAGUAAGACAAGGCAGACUAUAGUAAGACAAGGCAGAAGCCCUCACAAUGAGUCUGGACAAGGCAGCCCAGUAGGAGGAAAAGAGUACUAAGAGCAGGCAAAAGAGUCAGAGACACUCCUGCUACCACAGUUAGGAGUCCCACAAAACCACCAAGCUAACAGCCACAAGGUAUACCCAGAGGACCUGGUGCAGUGGCCCCACAGGGCCCAUGCUUGCCACGUCAAUCUCUCUGAGCCCAUAUGCUCCUUGCUUAGUUGAGAAUCCUGCUUUUUGAGCCAGUGAUCCGGGGGGCUGCUGUGCUUAGCUGUGUGUGAGCAGUCCAGAGGAGCUGGUGUGGGUACCAGGAGUGGGUAGAUGAGAUGUAUCCUAGGGACCAGGACCUUCUGCUGGUUGGCUUUUGGUACCCGUGUUGGGAAGAGGGUUCUGAUGAGCUCUUGGAAAGAUGGAGGGAAU
rnacentral:lncRNA from 1 species